rnacentral:lncRNA from 1 species
AGCAUUAUGUUGCCAAAGUAACCUCUAUUGUGUAGAUAGAUUAAUCUUGAAAUAUAAGAUGACUGUGGAUGUUAGUCUUCCAUGCGUUUAACACCGGCCCAAAGGAAGGUUGUUAUUGGCAGGAAUUCGAACAUGCUUGUGGUGAUAAAUAUGAGACAAUUAUUUGGUUUUCCAUGUGAAUAUUAAAUCGGCCCAAAGGAAGGUUU